rnacentral:rRNA from 1 species
GACGAACGCUGGCGGCGUGCUUAACACAUGCAAGUCGAACGGAAAGGCCCUGCUUUUGUGGGGUGCUCGAGUGGCGAACGGGUGAGUAACACGUGAGUAACCUGCCCUUGACUUUGGGAUAACUUCAGGAAACUGGGGCUAAUACCGGAUAGGAGCUCCUGCUGCAUGGUGGGGGUUGGAAAGUUUCGGCGGUUGGGGAUGGACUCGCGGCUUAUCAGCUUGUUGGUGGGGUAGUGGCUUACCAAGGCUUUGACGGGUAGCCGGCCUGAGAGGGUGACCGGCCACAUUGGGACUGAGAUACGGCCCAGACUCCUACGGGAGGCAGCAGUGGGGAAUAUUGCACAAUGGGCGGAAGCCUGAUGCAGCAACGCCGCGUGCGGGAUGACGGCCUUCGGGUUGUAAACCGCUUUCGCCUGUGACGAAGCGUGAGUGACGGUAAUGGGUAAAGAAGCACCGGCUAACUACGUGCCAGCAGCCGCGGUGAUACGUAGGGUGCGAGCGUUGUCCGGAUUUAUUGGGCGUAAAGGGCUUGUAGGUGGUUGAUCGCGUCGGAAGUGUAAUCUUGGGGCUUAACCCUGAGCGUGCUUUCGAUACGGGUUGACUUGAGGAAGGUAGGGGAGAAUGGAAUUCCUGGUGGAGCGGUGGAAUGCGCAGAUAUCAGGAGGAACACCAGUGGCGAAGGCGGUUCUCUGGGCCUUUCCUGACGCUGAGGAGCGAAAGCGUGGGGAGCGAACAGGCUUAGAUACCCUGGUAGUCCACGCUGUAAACGGUGGGUACUAGGUGUGGGGUCCAUUCCACGGGUUCCGUGCCGUAGCUAACGCUUUAAGUACCCCGCCUGGGGAGUACGGCCGCAAGGCUAAAACUCAAAGGAAUUGACGGGGCCCCGCACAAGCGGCGGAGCAUGCGGAUUAAUUCGAUGCAACGCGUAGAACCUUACCUGGGUUUGACAUGGAUCGGGAGUGCUCAGAGAUGGGUGUGCCUCUUUUGGGGUCGGUUCACAGGUGGUGCAUGGCUGUCGUCAGCUCGUGUCGUGAGAUGUUGGGUUAAGUCCCGCAACGAGCGCAACCCUUGUUCACUGUUGCCAGCACGUUAUGGUGGGGACUCAGUGGAGACCGCCGGGGUCAACUCGGAGGAAGGUGGGGAUGACGUCAAGUCAUCAUGCCCCUUAUGUCCAGGGCUUCACGCAUGCUACAAUGGCUGGUACAGAGAGUGGCGAGCCUGUGAGGGUGAGCGAAUCUCGGAAAGCCGGUCUCAGUUCGGAUUGGGGUCUGCAACUCGACCUCAUGAAGUCGGAGUCGCUAGUAAUCGCAGAUCAGCAACGCUGCGGUGAAUACGUUCCCGGG